rnacentral:rRNA from 1 species
CAAAGGAAUUGACGGGGACCCGCACAAGCGGUGGAGCAUGUGGUUUAAUUCGAAGCAACGCGAAGAACCUUACCAAAUCUUGACAUCCUCUGACCCCUCUAGAGAUAGAGUUUUCCCCUUCGGGGGGACAGAGUGACAGGUGGUGCAUGGUUGUCGUCAGCUCGUGUCGUGAGAUGUUGGGUUAAGUCCCGCAACGAGCGCAACCCUUAAGCUUAGUUGCCAUCAUUAAGUUGGGCACUCUAAGUUGACUGCCGGUGACAAACCGGAGGAAGGUGGGGAUGACGUCAAAUCAUCAUGCCCCUUAUGAUUUGGGCUACACACGUGCUACAAUGGACAAUACAAAGGGCAGCGAAACCGCGAGGUCAAGCAAAUCCCAUAAAGUUGUUCUCAGUUCGGAUUGUAGUCUGCAACUCGACUAUAUGAAGCUGGAAUCGCUAGUAAUCGUAGAUCAGCAUGCUACGGUGAAUACGUUCCCGGGUCUUGUACACACCGCCCGUCACACCACGAGAGUUUGUAACACCCGAAGCCGGUGGAGUAACCAUUUGGAGCUAGCCGUCGAAGGUGGGACAAAUGAUUGGGGUGAAGUCGUAACAAGGUAGCCGUAUCGGAAGGUGCGGCUGGAUCACCUCCUUUCUAAGGA